rnacentral:rRNA from 1 species
UCGCAAGACGAUGUAUACGGACUGACGCCUGCCCGGUGCUGGAAGGUUAAGAGGAAGGGUUAGCCUUUGGGCGAAGCUCUGAAUUUAAGCCCCAGUAAACGGCGGUGGUAACUAUAACCAUCCUAAGGUAGCGAAAUUCCUUGUCGGGUAAGUUCCGACCUGCACGAAUGGCAUAAUGAUGGGGGCGCUGUCUCCAGCAGAGACUCAGUGAAAUCGAAUUCGCCGUGAAGAUGCGGUGUACCCGCGGCUAGACGGAAAGACCCCGUGAACCUUUACUGCAGCUUGACAUUGAACUUUGAUCUUACUUGUGUAGGAUAGGUGGGAGGCUUUGAAACCGAGACGCUAGUUUCGGUGGAGCCAAUCUUGAAAUACCACCCUGGUAAUAUUGAGGUUCUAACUCUGUCCCGUUAUCCGGGACGAGGACCAUGUCUGGUGGGUAGUUUGACUGGGGCGGUCUCCUCCUAAAGAGUAACGGAGGAGUACGAAGGUGCGCUCAGCGUGGUCGGAAAUCACGCGUAGAGUAUAAAGGCAAAAGCGCGCUUAACUGCGAGACCCACAAGUCGAGCAGGUACGAAAGUAGGUCUUAGUGAUCCGGUGGUUCUGUAUGGAAGGGCCAUCGCUCAACGGAUAAAAGGUACUCCGGGGAUAACAGGCUGAUACCGCCCAAGAGUUCAUAUCGACGGCGGUGUUUGGCACCUCGAUGUCGGCUCAUCACAUCCUGGGGCUGAAGUCGGUCCCAAGGGUAUGGCUGUUCGCCAUUUAAAGAGGUACGCGAGCUGGGUUUAGAACGUCGUGAGACAGUUCGGUCCCUAUCUGCCGUGGGCGUUGGAUGAUUGAAGGGAGUUGCUCCUAGUACGAGAGGACCGGAGUGAACGAACCGCUGGUGUUCGGGUUGUCAUGCCAAUGGCACUGCCCGGUAGCUAUGUUCGGAACGGAUAACCGCUGAAAGCAUCUAA